rnacentral:rRNA from 1 species
GAUGAACGCUGGCGGCGUGCCUAAUACAUGCAAGUCGAGCGAACAGACGAGGAGCUUGCUCCUCUGACGUUAGCGGCGGACGGGUGAGUAACACGUGGAUAACCUACCUAUAAGACUGGGAUAACUUCGGGAAACCGGAGCUAAUACCGGAUAAUAUAUUGAACCGCAUGGUUCAAUAGUGAAAGACGGUUUUGCUGUCACUUAUAGAUGGAUCCGCGCCGCAUUAGCUAGUUGGUAAGGUAACGGCUUACCAAGGCAACGAUGCAUAGCCGACCUGAGAGGGUGAUCGGCCACACUGGAGCUGAGACACGGUCCAGACUCCUACGGGAGGCAGCAGUAGGGAAUCUUCCGCAAAGGGCGAAAGCCUGACGGAGCAACGCCGCGUGAGUGAUGAAGGUCUUCGGAUCGUAAAACUCUGUUAUUAGGGAAGAACAAAUGUGUAAGUAACUAUGCACGUCUUGACGGUACCUAAUCAGAAAGCCACGGCUAACUACGUG